UACGGAAGGCAGCAGUGGGGAAUAUUGCACAAUGGGCGAAAGCCUGAUGCAGCUAUGCCGCGUGUAUGAAGAAGGCCUUAGGGUUGUAAAGUACUUUCAUCGGGGAGGAAAAACAAAACUAAUAAUUUUAUUUCUUGACGUUACCCGAAAAAGAAGCACCGGCUAACUCCGUGCCAGCAGCCGCGGUAAUACGGAGGGUGCUAGCGUUAAUCAGAAUUACUGGGCGUAAAGAGCACGUAGGUGGUUUUUUUAAAGUCAGAUGUGAAAUCCCUGGGCUUAACCUAGGAACUGCAUUUUGAAACUGAAAUACUAGAGUAUCGUAGAGGGAGGUAGAAUUCUAGGUGUAGCGGUGAAAUGCGUAGAUAUCUGGAGGAAUACCUGUGGCGAAAGCGGCCUCCUAAACGAAUACUGACACUGAGGUGCGAAAGCUGGGGAGCAAACAGGGAUUAGAUACC
rnacentral:rRNA from 1 species